GUCACUUGCCUUCCUUGGAGGUUCAGCCAAUGGAGUCCAACAUAAGUCUUCUCCCAUCUCUACCUUUAAUGUGAAUGUCCUGCUUGGAUUCCCAGAACAAGGCUCAAGUCAGAGUCAGUUUACAGUGUUCUAAGACUGGCCUAAGACCUACCUUCAUCCUUCAAUCUUGGGCUUCCACCCCCUCAUAAGACUCCUUUUGACUCUCUUGAAGGAGAUGGGAAAAUGAAAGCCAAAACCAAGGUUUCAUUGGACAUGUAGAUGAAGGCUCCAAUUUUGUCUUUUCUUAAGAGGGGAAGGAAAUCACUGGAGUCCAUGUCCGGGUUGGAACAUCAGCAUCCAAGUAUGGCAUGGGACUGAAUGGAGCUUGAGGUACGGUAGUCCUAAGGGCUCUCUCAAGGAAGUCGUCCUAAGCACAGAUGAGUUCAUUGUUCAAGUGACUGGUAGCAAUGGCAAUACGAGGUGCCUCCAGCAACUCACCUUCAUGACGAACAAAGGCAAGAGACUUGAGGUUGGCAGAGUUGAUCCAAAUCAGUUCACCGCUUCCUCCACAGACGGUGGGAAGGCACUGACUUCUAUCUUUGCUCGUUAUGAUUCGGCAUGCUUAACCGGUCUUGCAUUUGAUGGGAUAGCCAUGAAGACAACAAAAGCACCAACAAAACCCACAUUAAAGAACAGGCAUCCAGCCAGCAACAGGUUUUUAAACAACAUGAAAACAGUCAUCCAAUCAACUACUUAGUCAACAGGCAUCUAAGCAACAACUUAUGGCACAGGCAUCCAGAGGACAACUUUUUGAGUCCCAAACUAAAAAACAAUCUUCUGAUGCUCCAGCCAAAAGGGGGUAGUAAUCCAAACCAUAGCCAUUACCAUUUUUGCCUAUCCCUGACACCCUAGAAUGGAAUUAACAGCAGUGAUAAUUCAAAUUAUUCAAGCCCUGUUUAUAAGCCUGAUACCUAAAAUUAUCAAGUUCCUGGCCGUAAUGAUUACCCUGCAAACUACCUUGUAUUCAGUUGCAAUCAUGAUUCCCCAAAUUCCUUAGGCCCUGCCUGCAACCAUGAAUUCUCAUAGUCUGUAGAUGAAAGUGAUAACCCAUCAAAGAAUUCAAUGGAAGUCCCUGUACCCUGAAACAAACCAGACAUUUAGGCAGGGAUUAAACAUGUAGAAUAUAUCUACGUAUCUAUAUCUCUGUAUCUAUCUAAACACACACAUAUUUGCAGAGAAUUACCCUGGAAAUCCUGUUUUCAAGGGAUAUGAUUGAGAUGGAGGGACA